UGCUGGAUGACGAUUGGACCCUGACAGAUUUAUUUAGUUAACCAUUGGUUCUUAUCAAAUUUGCCGCAAAAUAUUCGUAAAUCGGAAACAGCGCGAUCCAGAAUUUCUGUCAUCUGUCGGAAAUAUGUCGGUUUUGUUUUGGUGUGAAUUUUAGGAUAUUUAUAAUUACCACGUUCAUCAGCGAUUAGAUUAAAAUAGAAAAGAAGUGGAAUAUGGUACACUGUAUUGUAUCACGGCUACCCAAGGGUGUGAAGUAGAAUUGGAAUGUAAGCAGUGCAAUGUCCAGCCUCGCUUCCAACCUUUGGUUCUUGACAAUUCAUUAGACAGUAAUUAGUUCCUGACAAAUUGUUUAUCAUCACAUAGCUGGAGUAGUUUUCCAGGAGUAGUACAGCGAUUAGUUUCUAUCGUCUGACUUAAAUUUGUUUUACUGUGAUGGCAAGAAUGCAAAUUAUAAGGUUGGCUCGAGUUGUAAUCUAGACAAAAAUUCUCUAAGACAGACAGUUAUUGAUACAUAUGCUAUAUGAACUUGCAAGAUACACAAUUCAAGGCUGUUCUAAAAAAUAUUUACAGAGUAUUGCUGGAAAGAAUACCAUAAAGUUGGAAGACCUAACGAGAAGGCUAACAUAGUUAAUAUUUUGAUACUGUUUUCAAGUGCAAUAUUUAAGAGAAGCAAAAUAUGAAGAAUUAUUAGCAGGAAAC